CCUACGGGUGGCAGCAGUGGGGAAUAUUGGGCAAUGGGCGCAAGCCUGACCCAGCAACGCCGCGUGAAGGAAGAAGGCUUUCGGGUUGUAAACUUCUUUUCUCAGGGACGAAGCAAGUGACGGUACCUGAGGAAUAAGCCACGGCUAACUACGUGCCAGCAGCCGCGGUAAUACGUAGGUGGCAAGCGUUAUCCGGAUUUACUGGGUGUAAAGGGCGUGUAGGCGGGGACGCAAGUCAGAUGUGAAAACCACGGGCUCAACCUGGGGCCUGCAUUUGAAACUGUGUUUCUUGAGUACUGGAGAGGCAGACGGAAUUCCUAGUGUAGCGGUGAAAUGCGUAGAUAUAUGGAAGAACACCAGUGGCGAAGGCGGCUCUCUGGUCUGCAACUGACGCUGAGGCUCGAAAGCAUGGGUAGCGAACAGGAUUAGAUACCCUUGUAGUC
rnacentral:rRNA from 1 species